rnacentral:sRNA from 1 species
GGUUAUGGAAGGAAGGCUAUGUUCGCGACGUCCUGUCGCAACGCUUUCAUGACCCAAACCCUGUGGA